rnacentral:rRNA from 1 species
AAGCUCGUAGUUGAAUUUCGGGGUUUACCCAUUGGUCAGGCUUAAUUGUCUGCACUGGUGAGAUGAAUCUCUACCUUCUGGGGAACUUUCAUGCCAUUUAUUUGGUGUGAUGGGAAAUCAGGACUGUUACUUUGAAAAAAUUAGAGUGUUUAAAGCAGGCUAACGUCUGAAUACAUUAGCAUGGAAUAAUGAAAUAGGACGGACUGAUUCUAUUUCGUUGGUUUCUAGGAUCACCGUAAUGAUUAAUAGGGAUAGUUGGG